AUACGAAGGGUGCAAGCGUUACUCGGAAUCACUGGGCGUAAAGCGCGCGCAGGCGGGCUGAUAAGUUGGAUGUGAAAGCCUACGGCUCAACCGUAGAACUGCAUCCAAAACUGUCAGUCUAGAGUGUGGGAGAGGAAGAUGGAAUUAGUUGUGUAGGGGUAAAAUCCGUAGAGAUAACUAGGAAUACCAAAAGCGAAGGCAAUCUUCUGGAACACUACUGACGCUGAGGCGCGAAGGCGUGGGGAGCAAACAGGAUUAGAAACCCCAGUAGUCC
rnacentral:rRNA from 1 species